rnacentral:lncRNA from 1 species
AUGUCUGGGCUAAAAAGCAAUCUGCAAUGUUUUAUUCUCUUUAGACCUAAUUUAUUCAAAAUAUACCAACUUCCACGUAGUGGUCGAUAUAUUGCAGGCUGCUGGGCCAGCAAUAGCAACCUAAAUUGGCAACCGACUGACCAGCUACAGAACUCAAGGAAGAAUACGGCUAAAGCCCCUUCCUGUUACUCCAGUAUUGUACAUCUUUCUGAAAACCAGCCAAGGAGAUUGAGCGGGUCCUCAGCUUUAAAGAGAAAGGCACUUGUUCUGUCCUCCUCAGGAGGCCGGGAGAAAGGGAGCAGGAGCCAGUGCCAAGACAACAUGGGAACCGCACCCCAGUGGAGCACAGUGCCUGCCAGCAGCCCCUGCUCAGCUCAGACUGUGUGACCGCAGAGACAAGUCUCUACAAAGACAUCUUCACUUACAGUGGAGCUACAGCAGCGUCAGCAGUUACAUCGCCAGCUCUGUUUAAAGAGGCUGGACCCCCUGUUAAAACCAGUCUAAUGAUGUAAACUUGGACCCAAUGCCUCAACAGUAUUUGCUUAGAUGUCUAAUUCCUGCUGUAGUUAGAUGCCUACCACCUUUGAGGAGUUCCAUCUUCAACUGAGAUCAUUUGAUAAAGAAAUUAAAUUGUCAUGACAAUCAUUUAAUACUUACUUUUUCAUGCAUCUUAGUGCCUUACAGUUUGUGCCUUACAGCACAAGAUUCCUGAAAGAUAGGAAACUAUUAUCUCUGCUCAGAAAUGUGGUGCUAGGACAUAUGGUAGGUCAGGUCCAUUGUCUAAAUUCACACAGGAAACCUGUCUGAGCCUGGAUUUAGAGCCAGGUCUCCAGAGUCUCAGCCCAGUGCACUAGAUGAUAG